AUUGAACGCUGGCGGCAGGCCUAACACAUGCAAGUCGAGCGAGCGGCGGACGGGUGAGUAAUGUCUGGGAAACUGCCUGAUGGAGGGGGAUAACUACUGGAAACGGUAGCUAAUACCGCAUACCAUCAGAUGCGCCCAGAUGGGAUUAGCUAGUAGGUGGGGUAACGGCUCACCAAGGCGACGAUCCCUAGCUGGUCUGAGAGGAUGAUCAGCCACACUGGGACUGAGACACGGCCCAGACUCCUACGGGAGGCAGCAGUGGGGAAUAUUGCACAAUGGGCGCAAGCCUGAUGCAGCCAUGCCGCGUGUAUGAAGAAGGCCUUCGGGUUGUAAAGUACUUUCAGCAGGGAGGCGUUACCCGCAGAAGAAGCACCGGCUAACUCCGUGCCAGCAGCCGCGGUAAUUC
rnacentral:rRNA from 1 species